GGCUGGCUGGCGGAAGUGCUGUUGGCACCCGUCCCAGCUGAUUGUGGGGGGCGGGCUGCACGGACGCCAUAGCCUUUUAUAAGGCAUAGAAAUUUGAAUUAAUGGCGCUGCACACAGGAGUUAGGAAGCUCCUAUAAUUGCUGGGCUGGUUUUCUAAGCUUACCAGCAGAAUGGAAAGAGAGCCUUCUCCCCAAAAGCCGGUCAGUGCCCUAAAGAGGUUAACAACCAUUUAGGACCCUGUUUGGAGGAAGAGGAGAAAAAACACAGUGACUCUAAAGAUUCCUUUAUACAAGGGGAUCAUCACGUUUUCACGACCAUCCUGGUAUCCUGGUCGGAUGCAUAGGAGAAAAUACGGGGAACAGAUACCAAAGAUACCCUUAUAGGAGAGGCACAUCACGUUUAAACGUCCACAGAUUGUGCAUAAGAGUGGCUGCAUAAUGGCCACACUUUGGACAGCGUCCGGAUUCUGCAUCAUCAAAGUGACUCCUCUGGGAAACGUAGGCUCUAUACAGUAUAUUACUUUUACAUGAACUUCCUGUAAAGUGGAGUAGUGGACUGUACGGAGAACUCUUUGGAAAUAUUUGAAUAAUGCAGA